rnacentral:rRNA from 1 species
UAAAAGUUAGUAUUAACGAGUAACGAAUGGAUGACUAGGUUGUUCCAAAUGGACGUAAAAAAAAACGAAAAGUCGACUAUAAGAAACUAUGAAAGUCGAAUAUCCACAUGGGAAACCAAUAAAAAGUAACCCUGGGAACUGAAACAUCUUAGUACCGGGAGGAAAAGAAAUCAAGCGAGAUUCCGUAAGUAGUGGCGAGCGAAAGCGGAUUAUGAUGGAUUAAAAACCAAAGAGGGUACAAGUCCCGUAGAUCUAUCUUAAAGUCUUUAUAGUAGAACUAUUUGAAGAUAGGUGAAUCACACAUCUAAGACUAAAUAUUGGAACAAUCCGAUAGUGAACAAGUACUGUGAAGGAAUGUUGAAAGAGAGUAAAUAUCUUAAGGCCCCUAGAGGUAAAUGGAUAUGAAGUGAAACAGAGCCUGAAAUUCGUUAACUUACAAGCAGUGUGUAAACACGUACCUUUUGUAUAAUGGGUUCGCGAGAAUAAGAUUUGGCAAACUUAAGUUGAUAAACGAAGGUGUAGCGAAAGCGAGUUUUAAUAGAGCGUAAAUAUUUCAGUCAAAUUGAACCCGAAACCAAGUGAUCUAGUCAUGGACAGUUUGAAGCUGAUUUAACAGUUAGUGGAGGAACGAACCGGUGAUUGUAGCAAAAAUCUCGGAUGAUCUGUGACUAGCAGUGAAAUGCUAAUCGAACUUGGAAAUAGCUGGUUUUCUGCGAAAUCUAUAUAAGUAGAGCAUCAUAUAUUAUUCUUACAUUGUAAAGCACUAGAUGAUGUUGGAGGCACCAAGCCGGCCACAUCAACUAAACUCUGAAUGUGGAAGAAUUUAAGUAUGGUAGACAGACAAUGGGCGACCAGGUCUAUUGUCGAGAGGGAAACAGCCCAGAUCAGAAGUUAAGGUCACUAAAAAACUCUAAGUGUCAAAGGAAAUCUAUCAAUUAAGACAAUGAGGAAGUAGGCUUGGAGCCAGCCAUCUUUGUAAGAUUACGUAACAGUUCACUCAAUGAAUUUAUAGAUUCCAAAAAUUAAGGUGGCUUAAGUUUUAACCGAAACUCUGAAUAAUAUAUAUGGUAGCAGAACGUACUGUAUGAAACUAGCGAAAAGCGUGUAUCAGUAGUGAUAAUGCGAACAUGAGUAAAAAACAGUGUGAGAAACACUGAUCACCGCCUAAGGGUUCCAAUUAAAGGAUAAUCCUAAUUGGGUUAGACAGCCCCUAAGAGACACUGCCAAAGCAGAUUCUUAAUGGGUCGUCCAAUAAUAUACGCUCUAAUGGGCCAAGAAAUAAUUAUUGGAUAAGGACUGUACUAUAAACUGACUCAAGUGGGCGUAAAGUGAUGGUAAAAUUUAUCUUAAGGAACUCGGCAAAAUAACCCCGUAAGUUCGCAAGAAGGGGUGCCAACCUAACCCCGCAAUCAAUCGUGGAUUAGGUGGUCGCAGAAAAGAGGGAGUGCCGACUGUUUACCAAAAACACAGCUUCCAGCAAAUAUUAGAAAUAGUAGUAUUGGAGGUGAGGCCUGCCCAAUGAUUGUAUCCGAAACCAAGUGGUGAUUAAGCUAUUUGGGUAAGGACAAUUAAAUGGCCGCGGUAAAACUGACCGUGAUAAUGUAGCGCAAUCAAUAGCCAAUUAAUUGUUGGCAAGUAUGAAUGGCGUAACGAGUGCUCCACUGUCUCAAGAUAAAAACCAAUGAAAUUGAAUUCGUAGUGAAGAUGCUACGUACAAAUUGUUAGACGAGAAGACCCCAUUGAGCUUUACUGGAAACUUAUACUGUUCACAUCAAAUUAAUUGUAUUAUUGGUGGGAGGAGUGUAUAGAACACUCUAAAACCACUCUUUAAUUUUGAGGGGGACUUAGACGGCAAGGCCGACGAAACGUGUAAGUCAGACAGUUUGGUUGGGGCGACCGCCUUCUAAAAAGUAACGAAGGCGUACACAGGGUAAAGAUAUAAUAGCAUAAAGCCUGACUGUAAAGAUGACAAUCUGAGCAGGGCCUAUAUGGGCGGUUAUAAUGACCCGUUAAUAUAGAGUGAAAUAGUUAACGAUCAACGGAUAAAAGUUACCAUGGGGAUAACAGCGUAAUAUCGUUCAAGAGUUCAUAUCGACGACGAUGUUUGCGACCUCGAUGUUGAAUUGCGGUAUCCUGGAGGUGUAGCCGCUUCCAAGGGUUGGACUGUUCGUCCAUUAAAACCGUACAUGAUUUGAGUUCAGUGCAUCGUGAGAUAGCACGGUUUCUAUCUACAAUUUGUAAAGGAAACAUUAUAUAUAUUAUCUUCUAGUACGAAAGGACCGAAGGAUAAUCGUCCACUGGUGUACCAAUUGUAAUUACAUGUUGGGUAGCUACGACGAAAAGUAUAAUCGCUGAAUGCAUCUAAAGCGAGAAGACUAAUAUAAUUUUUUGUUUCCGUCGUUUAACGACUCAGGGCCGUUCAAGAUAAGGACGUUAAUAGGAUCUGUGUGUGAACUACAGCAAUGUAGUCCGCUUAAGAUUACUAAUGCCCGGCAUACUAAAUUUU